UACAGAGGUCUCAAGCGUUGUUCGGAUUCAUUGGGCGUAAAGGGUGCGUAGGCGGCGCGGUAAGUCGGAUGUGAAAUCCUGGAGCUCAACCCCAGAACUGCCUUCGAUACUGGGAGCCUUCGAGUUCGGGAGAGGUGAGUGGAACUGCGAGUGUAGAGGUGAAAUUCGUAGAUAUUCGCAAGAACACCAGUGGCGAAGGCGGCUCACUGGCCCGAGUACUGACGCUGAGGUGCGAAAGCGUGGGGAGCAAACAGG
rnacentral:rRNA from 1 species